AGGACGAACGCUGGCGGCGUGCUUAACACAUGCAAGUCGAGCGGAAAGGCCCUUCGGGGUACUCGAGCGGCGAACGGGUGAGUAACACGUGAGCAACCUGCCCUUAGCUCCGGGAUAGCUCCGGGAAACCGGAAUUAAUACCGGAUACGGACCACAGCCGACAUCUGCUGUGGUGGAAAGGAUUCCGGCUAAGGAUGGGCUCGCGGCCUAUCAGCUAGUUGGUGGAGUAACGGCCCACCAAGGCGACGACGGGUA
rnacentral:rRNA from 1 species